rnacentral:sRNA from 1 species
GCUCCAUUCAAUGCCCCGCGGUGUCGGC